rnacentral:rRNA from 1 species
ACAGGUUGAUUCUGUCAGUAGCAUUUGCUUGCCUCAAAGAUACACACAACAGUACACAUGGCCAGUACAGUGACACUGUGUACGGCUCAUUGUAUUAGUGAUGGUCCCUUUGAAGGCUCCAUCUGCUACUUGGAUAACUGUGGUAAAUGUACAGCAAAUAAAUGUCGACAAGCGCUGACCUCCCGAGAUGUGUGCAAUUCUCAGACCAAGACCAAUCCGGGCUGGCACAGCCGUAGCUAAGCUUGCCCAGAUCAUACGUCCGGUGACGGCAACAGUACAUUCUGAUGUUUGCCCUAUCAACUUCUAAUGGUACUUCCUGCGCCUACCAUGGUAAUCACAGGUAAGGGGGAAUCAGGAUUCAUUUCUAGAGAGGGAUCCUGAGAAACGGCUACCACAUCCAUGGAAGGCUGCAGGUGUGCAGAGAACUCACUCCUGACUCAGGGAGGUAGUGAUGUAAUCUAAUGAUACAGGACUCUUUUGAGGCCCUCUAAUUGAAAUGUGUACACUUCAAAUCGUUAAAUGAGGAUUCAAUGGAGGGCAAGUCUGCUGCCAGCAGUGCAAUCAUUCCAUCUCCAAUAGCGUAUGUUGAAGUUGCUGCUCUUCAAAAGCUAAUAAUUGGAUUUUGUGAUCGAGCUGGUGGUCCAGCAUGAGACGUGCUAACACAUGUGCCAGCCCCUGCCUCUCAGCGCACACUUGAUGCUCUUGGCUUGGUGUCCUAGAAGGUCCAAAGCAUUUACUUUGAAAACAUUUGAGUGUCCAAUACAGGACGCUCACCCGAAUACUUCAGCUAGGGAUGAUGAAAUCAGACACCAGUUCAAUUUUCUUUGUUUUCAGAACAGGGGACAUGCUUAAGAGGGACAGAUGGGAGCAUUCUUGUUGUGCUGCUAGAGGUGAUAUUCUUGUACCAUUGUACUUCCAACCAUGAACGAUGCGAAUAAGCGAUCCGGGAGUGUUAUUCCCACGACCCACUGAGCAGCUUCCGGGAAAACAAAGUCUUUGCGUUCCAGUGGGAGUACGGUUACAAAGGUGGAAUAUAAAGGAAUUGAUGGAAGUGCAUAACCAGGAGUGGAGCCUGUGGCUUAAUUUGACUCAACAUGGUGAAACCUCACCCAGCCUGGACACAGAAAAGAUUGACAGAUUGAUUGCUCAUUCUCAAUUUUAUGGGAGGUGGCGCAUAUAAUAUAAAUAUAACAAACAAACAAACAAAGCAUGGCUUUUCUUUAAUUAGUGGAGCGACUUGUCUGGUUAAUUCUGAUAAAUGUUUGAAACUAUAACACACAAUAAAUAAAUAAAGUAAAAUUAAUUCUGAUAACCAACAUAGCUCCUCAAUGCUAACUAGUUACGCAAACACUAGCAGUCGGGUGUUCAACUUCUUAGAGGGACAAAUGGAGUUCAGCCACACGGGAUUGAGCAAUAACAGGUCUGUGAUGCCCUCAUAUGUCCAGGGCUGCAGACAUGCUACACUGAAUGGAUCAGCAUGGUCUACCCUUUGCCGACAGGUCAGGUUGACCCACAGACCCUGUUCGUGAUAGGGAUUAGGUAUUGCAAUUAUUUCCUAAGAACAUGGAUUCCCAGUAAGUGCAAGAUGAUUGCUCACAUUGAUUACGUCGCAGCACUUUGUACACACUGCACAUCGCUACUAUCAUUGGAUGUUUAAGUGAGGUCCUCGGAUCGGCCCUGCCGGUGUCGGUCAACAGACCUGGCAAAGCACAGAGAAGCCAAUCAAAAUUGACUAUCUAGAGGAACCAAGAGUCGUAACAAGGUGUCACUAGGUAAUCUGCAGAAU